rnacentral:tRNA from 1 species
GGGGUCAUGGCGUAACUUGGUAGCGCGGCAGGCUCCAGACCUGCAUGUUGGGGUUCAAAUCCCUAUGACCCCA